GGGCUUGUGGUCUAGUGGCUAUGACAUCGCCCUCACACGGCGAAGGUCCCAGGUUCGAAUCCUGGCAGGCCCACCA
rnacentral:tRNA from 1 species